CGGCGGACGGGUGAGUAACACGUGGGUAACCUGCCUGUAAGACUGGGAUAACUCCGGGAAACCGGAGCUAAUACCGGAUAGUUCCUUGAACCGCAUGGUUCAAGGAUGAAAGACGGUUUCGGCUGUCACUUACAGAUGGACCCGCGGCGCAUUAGCUAGUUGGUGAGGUAACGGCUCACCAAGGCGACGAUGCGUAGCCGACCUGAGAGGGUGAUCGGCCACACUGGGACUGAGACACGGCCCAGACUCCUACGGGAGGCAGCAGUAGGGAAUCUUCCGCAAUGGACGAAAGUCUGACGGAGCAACGCCGCGUGAGUGAUGAAGGUUUUCGGAUCGUAAAGCUCUGUUGUUAGGGAAGAACAAGUGCAAGAGUAACUGCUUGCACCUUGACGGUACCUAACCAGAAAGCCACGGCUAACUACGUGCCAGCAGCCGCGGUAAUACGUAGGUGGCAAGCGUUGUCCGGAAUUAUUGGGCGUAAAGGGCUCGCAGGCGGUUUCUUAAGUCUGAUG
rnacentral:rRNA from 1 species